CCUACGGGCGGCAGCAGUGAGGAAUAUUGGUCAAUGGACGAGAGUCUGAACCAGCCAAGUAGCGUGAAGGAUGACUGCCCUAUGGGUUGUAAACUUCUUUUAUAUGGGAAUAAAAUGUUGCACGUGUGGGAUUUUGUAUGUACCAUAUGAAUAAGGAUCGGCUAAAUCCGUGCCAGCAGCCGCGGUAAUACGGUGGAUCCGAGCGUUAUCCGGAUUUAUUGGGUUUAAAGGGAGCGUAGGUGGAUUGUUAAGUCAGUUGUGAAAGUUUGCGGCUCAACCGUAAAAGUGCAGUUGAAACUGGCAGUCUUGAGUACAGUAGAGGUGAGCGGAAUUCGUGGUGUAGCGGUGAAAUGCUUAGAUAUCACGAAGAACUCCGAUUGCGAAGGCAGUUCACUGGACUGCAACUGACACUGAGGCUCGAAAGUGUGGGUAUCAAACAGGAUUAGAUACCCCUGUAGUC
rnacentral:rRNA from 1 species